rnacentral:rRNA from 1 species
GUUGGCGCUGUGGUUUAGGCAUGCAAGUCGAGCGAGAAAGCCUUCGGGCGAGUAAAGCGGCGAACGGGUGAGUAACACGUAAUCAACCUACCCUCGAGAUCGGAAUAACCACUGGAAACGGUGGAUAAUGCCGGAUGGUCUCCCGGGAUGGCAUCAUCCUGGGUGUAAACGGCGGCUCUGCUGCUGUUCGGGGAGGGGAUUGCGGCCUAUCAGCUUGUUGGUGGGGUAACGGCCUACCAAGGCAAUGACGGGUAGCCGGUCUGAGAGGACGAUCGGUCACACUGGGACUGAGACACUGCCCAGACUCCUACGGGAGGCUGCAGUCGAGAAUCUUCCGCAAUGGGCGAAAGCCUGACGGAGCGACACCGCGUGCAGGAUGAAGGCCUUCGGGUUGUAAACUGCUGUCACGCUAUAGGAAUUCCCUGUCGUUAAUAGCGCCAGGGUUGACCAAAGCGAGAGGAAGCACCGGCUAACUCCGUGCCAGCAGCCGCGGUAAGACGGAGGGUGCUAACGUUGUUCGGAAUUACUGGGCAUAAAGCGCACGUA